rnacentral:tRNA from 1 species
UUCCAGGUAGCUUAAUGGUAAAGCACCCAACCGGCAAUUGGGGGAUCUGGGUUCAAGUCCCGGCCGGGGCU